UACGUAGGGGGGCAAGCGUUGUCCGGAUUUAUUGGGCGUAAAGAGCGUGUAGGCGGCCACACAGGUCUGCUGUGAAAACUCGAGGCUCAACCUCGAGCUGUCGGUGGAAACCGUGUGGCUAGAGUCCGGAAGAGGAGAGUGGAAUUCCCCGGUGUAGCGGUGAAAUGCGCAGAUAUCGGGAAGAACACCCGUGGCGAAGGCGGCUCUCUGGGACGGUACUGAC
rnacentral:rRNA from 1 species